CUCCAUUUCCUUGGGUUCCAGGGUUGAGACAAAUGCUGGAUUGUUGCGAGAGCAGACUCCAAGCCCUGGAAUAGAGGUGCCGCGCUUUCGUUCCUCUUCACAGCAGAAGAGAACUCUACUGUGUUUCUUUCCAGGUUUCUGAAGGAG